AAUGCACCAAUUUGUAAGUCGCUCUGGAUAAGAGCGUCUGCUAAAUGUCUUAAA
rfam:Salmo salar isolate Sally breed double haploid chromosome ssa07, whole genome shotgun sequence.